rnacentral:rRNA from 1 species
UCCCUAUGGGGUGCAGCAGGCGAGAAAACUUUGCAAUGUGCGAAAGCACGACAAGGUUAAUCCGAGUGGUUUCUGCUAAAGGAACCUUUUGUCGGUCCUAGAAACACCGAUGAAUAAGGGGUGGGCAAGUUCUGGUGUCAGCCGCCGCGGUAAAACCAGCACCUCAAGUGGUCAGGAUGAUUAUUGGGCCUAAAGCAUCCGUAGCCGGCUUUGUUAGUUUUCGGUUAAAUCUGUACGCUCAACGUACAGGCUGCCGGGAAUACUGCAGAGCUAGGGAGUGGGAGAGGUAGACGGUACUCGGUAGGAAGGGGUAAAAUCCUUUGAUCUAUUGAUGACCACCUGUGGCGAAGGCGGUCUACCAGAACACGUCCGACGGUGAGGGAUGAAAGCUGGGGGAGCAAACCGGAUUAGAUACCCGGGUAGUCCCAGCUGUAAACUAUGCAAACUCAGUGAUGCAUUGGCUUGUGGCCAAUGCAGUGCUGCAGGGAGGCCGUUAAGUUUGCCGCCUGGGAAGUACGUACGCAAGUAUGAAACUUAAAGGAAUUGGCGGGGGAGCACCACAAGGGGUGAAGCCUGCGGUUCAAUUGGAUUCAACGCCGGAA